rnacentral:tRNA from 1 species
AAGAUUUUAAGUUAUUUUAAACUGUUGCCCUUCAAAGGCGAAAAAAAAAGACGUGCUUUUAAAUCUUA